rfam:Triticum urartu cultivar G1812 contig1240353, whole genome shotgun sequence.
UGCAUACUCCCUCCGUUCCAAAUUACUUGUCUUAAAUUUGUUUAGAUACGGAGGUAUCUAGCACUAAAAUAAGUCUAGAUACAUUCGUAUUUAGAUAAGUCCAAAACAAGUAAUUCGGAACGAAUAGAGUAGAAG